rnacentral:misc_RNA from 1 species
GAUGAAGAACGUAGCGAAAUGCGAUAAGUAAUGUGAAUUGCAGAAUUCGGUGAAUCAUCGAAUCUUUGAACGCACAUUGCGCCCCCUGGUAUUCCGGGGGGCAUGCCUGUCCGAGCGUCAUUACAACCCUCAAGCUCAGCUUGGUGUUGGGCCCCGCCGCCCCGGCGGGCCCUAAAGUCAGUGGCGGUGCCGUCCGGCUCCGAGCGUAGUAAUUCUUCUCGCUCUGGAGGUCCGGUCGUGUGCUCGCCAGCAACCCCCAAUUUUUUUCAGGUUGACCUCGGAUCAGGUAGGGAUACCCGCUGAACUUAAGCAUAUCAAUAAGCGGAGGA